UACCGUCAAUCCCAUUACGAUAGAAAAAGAGGCAGUACAACAACUGCUCACAACUUGUCUAUUCAAAGGGAAAGAAAUAUAUAAUUCGGUCUGUUCACCAAUCUCCCAAAUUUUCACCUUAUAUUCUAUUUUUACGCUCGAAUAAAAAUAAAAUCAUUGGUAAAAAGAUAUACAUUUUCAUUAUUUUUAUUAUGAUGGUUUAAUGAAUUUACAAGUGAUUACAAAAAAAAAAAUAUAAAAAAAUUUAAAUAUACAAACAGCCAGCAAAUGCAAUAAGAAAAUAAAUAAAACAUAUAUAAACAAAAAAGAAAUAAACAACUUAACUAAACAAGCCUAGAACCUGAAUAGAGACAUUAGUAUUCUUAAACCAUAACAGGAAUAAAACUACAACUUGUUACCAAACAGGGUAGUUAAUAAAUAAAGAUAAAAUAUAAUUAUAAACUAAAAAUGAAAUAAAGAGUAAAUUACACUGACACCCCUAGGUUUUAGUGAAAUUGUACAAAUUAUCUCUAACUUUUUUAUACCUACACAAACUUCUCAUAGCUUUUAUACUUUCAUUACACUCACACCUGCAUAAGAAAUAAGUGUAAUCUUUUAAACAAAAAAUGUGAUAAAAGCAAUUAAGUUAAACAAAAUAUGAUAUAUUGUGUAGACAAGUCUAAAUAAUAUACAAAUCAAUGUAUUUAUAUUAUUUUUUGUUACAAAAUGCAUCAACAAUUCUAAAGAAAUAUUGUUUAAAUCGCUCUUAUAAUAUAGUAUAACGAACCAAAAAUAAUAAAGAAAUAUUGACUCAUGUUUCCACAAUAUAUCAUGUUUUGUUUAACUUAAUUACGUUUAUCACAUUUUUUAUUUAAAAUAUUACACUUAUUUCUUAUGCAGGGGUGGUCAGAAAGUAUAAAAAUUAGGAGAGGGUUGUGUAGGUGUAAAAAAGUGAAAAACAGUUUGUGUAAUUUCACUAAAACUCAUGGGUGUUAGUGUAAUUUACUCUAAAAUAAAAUAAAGGAAUGUGAAACGGGAUAAAAAUGGAAGAGGGAAGGGGUUUCAUCCCCUAUGGGUUCUUGAUGGUGGCUAUCCACCAAAACAAAGGAUGGUGCGACGGUGUAGGGGAGAACCCAUAACCACCGCCUAGCUUACGGCCCACCCAACAGGGUGACGGCAGUGCUCCACCACGCAUGGGACUUUCUUCCACUACCUCCAUCGUCUCAACAGGCGGUGCAAGCGAAGGUUCCCCCUCCAAGAAUAUGGUAGCACACCACAGUUUAGAUUCCACUAUUCUUGGCACUUCCAUAAGUAAUCUAUGAUUUGUAUCAUUGAAAUGCACACAAGGGUGAAGAAAAAGGUUGAAGAAUUUAUAAAAAAGAAAAGGGGAAAGGAAAGAACUUGAGAGUAUAUGAAGAGGGAGUUUUAGUUAUCUUUAGACUAAAAAGGGGGUCCCUCCUCUAACAGUGCUUUACUCCAUCCCCUUCUAUUGCAUCUUCUAAAUUGUUUGUGACUUUUUUCUAUGGCUCCUUUUAGUGUGUAAUCUGAUUGUUUUUCCUUAGGUGUAUGGGCUGCUCAUUUUGUGUGUUUUUAUGAUAAAAGCUGCUGAGUUGUUUAAGGAUAAAGCUUUUGAAGAUUAGAUGUUUAGAGGGAUAAGGUGAUAAUGUAAUGUGUUUAGAUAUGGUGGCUUCUUAUUCUGUUUUUUUAAUUGGUAUAAGGCUGUUGAGUGAGUUUAAGGAUAGGAUGCUUAUCCUUAGGUGUGCUGAGUGGGGCUUUAUAUAGCACCC
rnacentral:lncRNA from 1 species